GGAGAUAUUGCCUAAUGGUAUGGCGGUAGAUUGCUAAUCUACCGAGUUAAUAGUUCUUAUGGGUUCGAGUCCCAUUAUCUUCG
rnacentral:tRNA from 1 species